rnacentral:ncRNA from 2 species
GGUCAUGAGCGCCAGCGCGAAGCCCCGGCUCGCUGGCCGGCAACCCUCCACCGCGGUGGGGUGCCCCGGGUGACGACCUGGCGUCGGCGAGGUGUCGGCGCAAGCGCGGGCU